rnacentral:rRNA from 1 species
UACGGGGGGGGCAAGCGUUGUUCGGAAUUACUGGGCGUAAAGGGUUCGUAGGUGGCCUGCUAAGUCAGACGUGAAAUCCCUCAGCUUAACUGGGGAACUGCGUCUGAUACUGGUGGGCUUGAGUGCAGGAGAGGAACGCGGAAUUCCAGGUGUAGCGGUGAAAUGCGUAGAUAUCUGGAGGAACACCGGUGGCGAAGGCGGCGUUCUGGACUGCAACUGACACUGAGGAACGAAAGCCAGGGGAGCAAACGGG